AACGAACGCUGGCGGCAGGCUUAACACAUGCAAGUCGAGCGCCCCGCAAGGGGAGCGGCAGACGGGUGAGUAACGCGUGGGAAUCUACCCAUCCCUACGGAACAACAGUUGGAAACGACUGCUAAUACCGUAUACGCCCUUUGGGGGAAAGAUUUAUCGGGGAUGGAUGAGCCCGCGUUGGAUUAGCUAGUUGGUGGGGUAAUGGCCUACCAAGGCGACGAUCCAUAGCUGGUCUGAGAGGAUGAUCAGCCACAUUGGGACUGAGACACGGCCCAAACUCCUACGGGAGGCAGCAGUGGGGAAUAUUUGACAAUGGGCGCAAGCCUGAUCCAGCCAUGCCACGUGAGUAAUGAAGGCCCUAGGGUUGUAAAGCUCUUUCACCGGUGAAGAUAAUGACGGUAACCGGAGAAGAAGCCCCGGCUAACUUCGUGCCAGCCGCCGCGGUAAUAC
rnacentral:rRNA from 1 species